GACGAACGCUGGCGGCGUGCCUAAUACAUGCAAGUAGAACGCACAGUUUAUACCGUAGCUUGCUACACCAUAGACUGUGAGUUGCGAACGGGUGAGUAACGCGUAGGUAACCUGCCUGGUAGCGGGGGGUAACUAUUGGAAACGAUAGCUAAUACCGCAUAAUAUUGAUUAUUGCAUGAUAGUUGAUUGAAAGAUGCUAUUGCAUCACUACCAGAUGGACCUGCGUUGUAUUAGCUAGUAGGUGAGGUAACGGCUCACCUAGGCGACGAUACAUAGCCGACCUGAGAGGGUGAUCGGCCACACUGGGACUGAGACACGGCCCAGACUCCUACGGGAGGCAGCAGUAGGGAAUCUUCGGCAAUGGACGAAAGUCUGACCGAGCAACGCCGCGUGAGUGAAGAAGGUUUUCGGAUCGUAAAGCUCUGUUGUAAGAGAAGAACGGGUGUGAGAGUGGAAAGUUCACACUGUGACGGUAUCUUACCAGAAAGGGACGGCUAACUACGUG
rnacentral:rRNA from 1 species